UGGGGAAUUUUGGACAAUGGGCGCAAGCCUGAUCCAGCCAUGCCGCGUGUGUGAAGAAGGCCUUCGGGUUGUAAAGCACUUUUGUUCGGGAAGAAAUCGUGCGGGCUAAUACCCAGUACGGAUGACGGUACCGAAAGAAUAAGCACCGGCUAACUUCGUGCCAGCAGCCGCGGUAAUACGAAGGGUGCAAGCGUUACUCGGAAUCACUGGGCGUAAAGCGUGCGUAGGCGGUUGGUUAAGUCUGCUGUGAAAGCCCUGGGCUCAACCUGGGAACUGCAGUGGAUACUGGCUAGCUAGAGUGUGAUAGAGGAUGGUGGAAUUCCCGGUGUAGCGGUGAAAUGCGUAGAGAUCGGGAGGAACACCAGUGGCGAAGGCGGCCAUCUGGAUCAACACUGACGCUGAGGCACGAAAGCGUGGGGAGCAAACAGGAUUAGAUACCCCUGGUAGUCCACGCCCUAAACGAUGCGAACUGGACGUUGGUUGCAACUUGGCAAUCAGUGUCGAAGCUAACGCGUUAAGUUCGCCGCCUGGGGAGUACGGUCGCAAGACUG
rnacentral:rRNA from 1 species